AGCUGUUGUGUCGCUUCCUCAUGCUGACAUAUUUACGAGAGGGUGCAAUUCAUAACCUUCUGGUAAGAGUGGCAGUUGAGGGGU
ensembl:miRNA Mir628 microRNA 628